rnacentral:tRNA from 1 species
GUUCCAGUGGCCUAAUGGAUAAGGCGGUUGACUUCUAUGUCACCGCGCGUGUCAUGAUGACAUCAACAGAUUGUGGGUUCGAGUCCCACCUGGAAUA